rnacentral:lncRNA from 1 species
GCCCCCGCCGGCUCCGCUCUCCCCCUUCCCCCGGUGUCGGUGCCGCCGCCUCCCGCCCCGCGGGGAAGCCGGCGUGGGGAGGGAGGGGGGGAACCCGCGGAUCCCUUCGGCCGCUCCCUCCUUCUCUAUGACCUAGGCCGCCGUCGCCGGGCAACGCGCCCUCCCUGCGGUGCGGCGGGCGGCAUGUGGCGGCNNNNNNNNNNGGGGGGGAACCCCUGCCCGCGGAGGGGACCCGCUGCCCUCAGGGCGCUGCGGGGACGGUGCGGGGGGGAGCUCUCUGAGGGCUCGCCUCACGGUUGUUGGUGUUUUCUGCUCCUUUUAGAGCGCCCGGUUGUCGGGAUGGACAAGGAGGAGGAAGGCAGAGGCAUCUGCCCGGCCUGGUGUCCCGCUACUCGGUGCUGGAUGCAGUCACCUGGGGAGCACUCGGUGCGCUGCUUCUGCAGCUGGUCAGGCAGAUCUCCUGGCUGAGAUCACUGCAGGACGCCAGGAGGGAGCACAGGUCCCUCUGGCUCUCCUCGCUGCCCUCUCAGCAGACAGCGGUGACUGAAGCCUCCACCAGCUGUCCCAGUGCGCAGCUGGGGUCCCACUUCCUGCAGAGAGAAAACCCAGAGGUCGUAUCAGAGAACCCAUCCUCAGGGAUCCCCUUGGGGCAAGGAGAGAGCCAGCCCUGGGCAGAAGUGGAUUUUUUGGCUUUCUUCUGUGCCGAUGUAAACUGCUGCCCAUCGCUGCUUAUCAAACCCGUCUCCUGCCAGAGGUUGCCAUUCCCAUCAGUUGGCAAAUGGAGCAUUUUGUUUCCAUGUCUCCUAAUUAGCUCCAGGAAAACAGCCAGGUUAAUUUACCUAAACUGCCAAUUAGACUGUUUAACCCAUCUGCUUUUGCCUGGAGUGUAUUAAGAAGGAGUCAAACACGCCGCCCGGCUGGCGGAUCGCUGGACAGGGACCUCUGGGAGAAGCGGUGGGGAAUAAGUGGAGACAGUGAUGCCUUCAGUUGGUGGAGCUGAACAUUCGGGAAGGAACGUGUGUCUGUGUCUGACAAACGGUUUCCUACUGCGAGUCAACAGGAAGAGCUUUUAGGCAAACUGAUAAAUUGAACAGUGGCAAGUCACUAAGGCCACACGCUCUUUGUUCAGAUGUUCUUCAGAAGCUCUGAAAUUGCUGAGCCUCUAAUGAUGAUAUGUGAUCCAGUGCUUAAGUCUGCUGUAUGGCCAGAAGAAUGAACACUGACAGAUUGGAUGCUGGCUUUUAAAAAGGGGGGGUGGUUUGAGGCGCAGAACUGCAAAAAAGGUAAUUUUAAGUUGAUAGAAACUGUGUUAUGGAAUAGAGAUGUUAGAUACCUGGAUGAGUGUGCUAUAUCAAAGAAUCAAAGGUCUUGGAAGGAUUUAGGAAGCCAUUUCUCAGGCCAGCUUGCUCCAUUGCAGAGAUUUAAGAGAGUUGUAAAUCUAUUAAGAGUUCUUUGGAGAAGUCAACAGGCUGGUGGAGCAAGAUUAUCCAGCUUUUAGCUUUCAGAAAAUCUUUCAGCCAGAACCUAAAACAAAGCCAUCUGGAGAAAUAAAGCUGAUGGGAGGGAAGACA